rnacentral:rRNA from 1 species
AUUGAACGCUGGCGGCAGGCCUAACGCAUGCAAGUCGAACGGUAACAGGAAGAAGCUUGCUUCUUUGCUGACGAGUGGCGGACGGGUGAGUAAUGUCUGGGAAACUGCCUGAUGGAGGGGGAUAACUACUGGAAACGGUAGCUAAUACCGCAUAACGUCGCAAGACCAAAGAGGGGGACCUUCGGGCCUCUUGCCUUCGGAUGUGCCCAGAUGGGAUUAGCUAGUAGGUGGGGUAACGGCUCACCUAGGCGACGAUCCCUAGCUGGUCUGAGAGGAUGACCAGCCACACUGGAACUGAGACACGGUCCAGACUCCUACGGGAGGCAGCAGUGGGGAAUAUUGCACAAUGGGCGCAAGCCUGAUGCAGCCAUGCCGCGUGUAUGAAGAAGGCCUUCGGGUUGUAAAGUACUUUCAGCGGGGAGGAAGGGAGUAAAGUUAAUACCUUUGCUCAUUGACGUUACCCGCAGAAGAAGCACCGGCUAACUCCGUG